rnacentral:rRNA from 1 species
AACGACUCUCGGCAACGGAUAUCUCGGCUCYCGCAUCGAUGAAGAACGUAGCGAAAUGCGAUACUUGGUGUGAAUUGCAGAAUCCCGCGAACCAUCGAGUCUUUGAACGCAAGUUGCGCCCGAAGCCAUUAGGCCGAGGGCACGUCUGCCUGGGCGUCACGC